rnacentral:lncRNA from 1 species
AAAGGCACCAGAGAGUGCAGAGUCCAGCUCAGGAUACACCGGAAUCUACCAUAUGUAAAUUUUGCUGCUGCUGUCUCUUUGGAUUUGGGCCAUUUUUAAGAGGUGUAACACUCACUGUGAAGUUCUGUAGCUCCAUUCUUCAAGUUAGCGAGACCACGAACCUGCCGGAAGGAACCAACUCCGGACAUAGCAGAUCAAGAAGGCAGUCAGAAGUGGGCAAAAAAACUUUUUAUGGUUCACUGAGGACAAUCAACUCCUUCACAAUCUAGAACCCGAAGAUUGGAUCCUCUGAGACAUCAGAGAAAGAUUGCUUUAGCCAUCCUCACUGCAGUAAAACUUCAGGACCUCGAGCCUUGGGUUCAUAAUCUCACAACUGAGAAGGGUCCCUCCACACUGUUGAACUGUACACCCAUUGGAACCCUUAAGGUAAAGCUAACCAGGGAAGUUUCUCCCUAAGAAGAAGAUGGCAUCCUUGAUGCAAAAAGCUUUUCCCAACAUCACAGAUCAAGACUUCUAUUAUCAUGAGACUCUUAUCUUUGAAUACUUUUCCCCUUGCUUAUGCCUGUAUGAACAAUACAAGUGGAAAAGGGGUCUGUUGUGUGCACUCAUGGGGUAUACUUUUAGUUAUGAAGGAUUUUGCAGCCAGCCUUAUACAUGGAUAACCUUAUAUCUUGACAGAUGAAAGAUGAAGGCCCGAUGUAGGUGAGAAACAGAAACUUUAAUGGUACACACUUUGCCUCGUAAUCAGUCAGAAACAGAGCAUUGGUUCACUCCUCUUAACCCACAUCAUGGGUUAAAGAGAACAUUACCAGGAGAGCUUCACUCUUCUAGAAGGGCAUCAUUUGUUAGGUCCUUUUUUCCAUGGUUUCGAGUAAAAAAGGCAAUGAUGAGAAAUGUUUCCCUCAUGAUAGGCUCUAUAGCAGAUUCUACUGUAAAAGCCAUGGUUACACAGCAGACUUUAAAUUAUCUUGUGAAAAUUAUGCUAAAUAAUAGAACUGGCUAAACAGAAAACUAUCUGUGUCACUGUUGACACUUGUGGCCUAUAGAGAAAUAUAUCAAAAGUAGAUUACAGAGAUUCAGUUGUAAAGGAUUAGCAAAGAGACCACUUAAUUAAGCAAGUCGACUCUUUAGCUCAUUCUUUGAUCUAUUUAAUUUUAGGUGAUUUGGUUUAUGGGGGUCUUGGGUAGGGAGGAUACUCCAAACUCUUGCUAUUAUCCCCCUGAUAGUUAUAAUAGUAGUCUCCCUGGUAUGCUGUAUUCUCUCAAAAGUUUUAAAUGUUUGCAUGCAGCCAUCUCUAAAAUGUCAAAUGGUCUUUCUUCAACUGGAAUGACAAGAACUGAAAGAAAUGUGUGACCAUGACGACAUCGUAACCUAUGAAUGACCACAUUGAGACCAGAAACCCAAACUGAUGGUACUGAAAGUGGCACUAAAGCCCUUAGUUUUGGUCACACUUUCACCUAAGUGAGAACCUGACCCAAAAGGAGGAAUUUUUAAACAAAAUUAUGAGAGGCCAUUGUUUUGGACUGAGCUCAUGCACUAGGCCCCAAAAGGACCAGACCAAACCAAAAUGGAGUCACUCACGUUAAAUGUGAUGUAAUCAAACUAAGACUUUAAGGAAACACACAGAUCCUAGAACAGAUCAGGUUUUGUUUUUCUCCUGUAAACAGGACGUUCCAGCAUAAGGAGGUACCUUCUACUCAGUCCUUGCUCCUACCUUGCAAAACCCACUGUUCUACCAUUUCCCAGUGGGUUUAAAGACCAAAUAAGUAUAUUUACAAUGGUUACAGUGACAUCAAUGACUAAAGUUUUGAUCUCUCUAAUUUGGGGUGAAAUUGUUAAAUCAAGUUUAGCCUAAAGCUGCCUCCUUACAUAUUUUAAGUUCAGCCUAAAGGUUUCUCUGCACAUGGUGAACUACAACAAGUGGAAGUGUAAACAGACCGCAGCCUACACUUGUGCCAAUCACUGAGUUUUGGCCAAUCAAAUGUAGCCAACUGUUCAAACUGUUCAAAUAAGGCAAACACCAAGCUGUACCCAAUCCAGCUCUUUCUGUACCUCACUUCCAUUUUCUGUGUGUCACUUUCCUUUUUCUGUCCAUCAGUCUUCUUCCACCCCAUGGCUGUGCUGGAGUCUCAGAGUCUACUCUGGCUCAGGAGGCUGCCUGAUUCAUGAAUCAUUCAUUGCUUAAACCCCUUUACAUUUAAUUCAGCUGAAGUUUUUUUUAAUCAGUGGUAUGAUGAGAAUAAUCCUCUUGGGAUGGGGAUGGAGGCACCAUGGCACAGAAGUCAAUUCCGGGAGGAUUUCUUUUUUGAACUAUUCAUUUAUUUAGGAGUGCUUCUAUAAUGAAGUUACAUUCAAGCUGAGUCUUGCUGACAGGUACACAUUUCUUAGGUAGAGAAAAAUGGACAAAUAACAUGCAUAAAAUAGGGGAAAGAAAGGAUUUUAGGAAGAAACAAAUCAGACAAAAGAAAAAUGUUUUCAAGCAGUUGGGUGUGUUAGGAGAAGCUUCAAGGAUCUGAAGCAGAGAAGUGAGGCUGUGGGUUGGGGCAUGAGUCAGAUGCUAAUAACCUUCCCGAAUUGCUAAGGAAUUUGAACGUGAUCUGAUAUGAUUAAUGCCAUUAAAGGGUUUUAAACUGUGGACUUGCCUAAUCGUAUUAGACAGAGGACAAACCUGGGGCAUGAGAGACCAGCGAGGAAGCCUAUCCAACAGUUCUGGAGGGACCCAGUGAAGACCCACACUCACUGAUAAUAGGACCUAAGGGAGAACAUUGACAGGAAUGUUUAACUCUUUCCUUUCAGCCGGAGGUGAAGUCUCACAAAGUUAAUGAGGCUUAAGCUUCCGGGAACCUCAGUUGUUCCGGCCUUUUCUAAGCCCUGGGAGUAGCUCCCGGAAUAUCUUCUUAGAGUCAUAUGUUUUUGUAAAAAUAUGCAAAAUAAAAUGUUUUAAUUGCCAUCAGUUAAAUGUCUCUUUCCCCUGAAAUAUUCUUUCACUUUAAAAAUCAAAGUAUCUGUAAUUUUGGAAGCAAGUACAAUUUUUUGUUGUUAUUGCUGUUCUUAUUGAUGUUGGAGAACCUCAGAUUUUAAUUAAAC